UUCCCAUGGGACUAACAAAGGGGCUGGUGCCAUUGGGGCUAGAGAUGGGGGGUUCCCGUGGGACUAAACAAAAGGGCUGGUGCCAUUGGGGCUAGUGGUGGGGAUUCACGUGGGACUAACAAAGGGGCUGGUGCCAUUAGGGCUAGAGGUGGGGGGUUCCCGUGGGACUAACAAAGGGGCUGGUGCCAUUGGGGCUAGAGGUGGGGUUCCCAUGGGACUAACAAAGGGGCUGGUGCCAUUGGGGCUAGAGGUGGGGGGUUCCCGUGGGACUAACAAAGGGGCUGGUGCCACUGGGGCUAGAGGUGGGGGGUUCCCGUGGGACUAACAAAGGGGCUGGUGCCACUGGGGCUAGAGGUGGGGCGUUCCCGUGGGACUAACUAAGGGGCUGGUGCCAUUGGGGCUAGAGGUGGGGUUCCCGUGGGACUAACAAAGGGGCUGGUGCCACUGGGGCUAGAGGUGGGGUUCCCGUGG